CUAGUAUAAGCAAUUAUACCGCGAAACUGCGAAUGGCUCAUUAAAUCAGUUAUCGUUUAUUUGAUAGUACCUUACUACAUGGAUAACCGUGGUAAUUCUAGAGCUAAUACAUGCUAAAAAUCCCGACUUCGGAAGGGAUGUAUUUAUUAGAUUAAAAACCAAUGCCCUUCGGGGCUCUCUGGUGAUUCAUAAUAACUUCUCGAAUCGCACGGCCUUGCGCCGGCGAUGGUUCAUUCAAAUUUCUGCCCUAUCAACUUUCGACGGCUGGGUCUUGGCCAGCCAUGGUGACAACGGGUAACGGAGGGUUAGGGCUCGACCCCGGAGAAGGAGCCUGAGAAACGGCUACUACAUCCAAGGAAGGCAGCAGGCGCGCAAAUUACCCAAUCCCGACUCGGGGAGGUAGUGACAAUAAAUACUGAUACAGGGCUCUUUUGGGUCUUGUAAUUGGAAUGAGUACAAUUUAAAUCCCUUAACGAGGAACAAUUGGAGGGCAAGUCUGGUGCCAGCAGCCGCGGUAAUUCCAGCUCCAAUAGCGUAUAUUAAAGUUGUUGCAGUUAAAAAGCUCGUAGUUGAACCUUGGGCCUGGCUGGCCGGUCCGCCUCACCGCGUGCACUGGUCCGGCCGGGCCUUUCCCUCUGGGGAACCGCAUGCCCUUCACUGGGUGUGUCGGGGAACCAGGACUUUUACUUUGAACAAAUUAGAUCGCUUAAAGAAGGCCUAUGCUCGAAUACAUUAGCAUGGAAUAAUAGAAUAGGACGUGUGGUUCUAUUUUGUUGGUUUCUAGGACCGCCGUAAUGAUUAAUAGGGACAGUCGGGGGCAUCAGUAUUCAAUUGUCAGAGGUGAAAUUCUUGGAUUUAUUGAAGACUAACUACUGCGAAAGCAUUUGCCAAGGAUGUUUUCAUUAAUCAGGAACGAAAGUUAGGGGAUCGAAGACGAUCAGAUACCGUCGUAGUCUUAACCAUAAACUAUGCCGACUAGGGAUCGGACGAUGUUAUAUUUGACUCGUUCGGCACCUUACACGAAGUAAAGUUUCUGGGUUCUGGGGGAGUAU
rnacentral:rRNA from 1 species